ACUACAUGAAGCCGGAAUCGCUAGUAAUCGCGGAUCAGAAUGCCGCGGUGAAUACGUUCCCGGGUCUUGUACACACCGCCCGUCACACCAUGGGAGUCGGGAAUGCCCGAAGUCAGUGACCCAACCUUAGGGAGGGAGCUGCCGAAGGCAGGCCUGGUGACUGGGGUGAAGUCGUAACAAGGUACC
rnacentral:rRNA from 1 species